UACGAAGGGUGCAAGCGUUAAUCGGAAUUACUGGGCGUAAAGCGUGCGCAGGCGGUUUUGUAAGCCCGAUGUGAAAUCCCCGGGCUCAACCUGGGAAUGGCAUUUGGGACUGCAAGGCUGGAGUUUGGCAGAGGAGACUGGAAUUCCUGGUGUAGCAGUGAAAUGCGUAGAUAUCAGGAGGAAUACCGAUGGCGAAGGCAGGUCUCUGGGCUAUAACUGACGCUCAUGCACGAAAGCGUGGGGAGCAAACAGG
rnacentral:rRNA from 1 species